UGACACGUGAUAAAAAGAAAUGCUAGG
rnacentral:piRNA from 1 species